GCUAGGAUGUGUUGUGCGGUGCACCUACUCAGUUCCUGGUCCAAAAUCCCUGGUGCAUGUCGACACCAACCACAAACUCGUUUGGUACAACAUUGUCAUCUUCGGUGGCAUUGAUGGUUUUUCAAGAAAGAUCAUGUACCUCUGUGCUGCAAACAACAAUUUGUCCUCAACAGCCCUUGCCUUCUUCCAGCGAUCAGUGGACAAAUUUGGAUUUCAAUUAAGAAAAAGGCAGACAAACUGGAGAUGACAACAGGAGAGUUAACGGUGUGGGGCGUUCAGGACAAAAAGGAAUACAGCUGCAUGAUGGAAGCCAAAAACAGCACCGACUCCUUCACCUGUGAGAUUAAAGACCCACCCAGCCCAGAAUUUCACCAGUUAUUGGACAGUAAGACUCAGUGAGCAUCAGUCUUCAUCACGCCUAAUGCUGCUUUUCCUGCUGAUACCCUGUGUUAUUGCUGUGUUGGUCUUUAUCUGUCUAUGGAGGAAGAGGCGCACCGCGUGGGUUCCAUUUAAAGUUUCUUUCCUGUCGCUGUUGGUUGAUUGACAACCUCCAGGCAGCUGCUGCAGCCGUCCAUUGUGAUGCAAGUUGGCUUUUCCAGU